GCCCGACCGCCUCGCCGGCAACGCCGGGAGGAGGAUAAGGCCGUCAGCGCCUCGACGCCUCGGUCUCCCCCCUGCCACCUCUCCCACUCGCCUCUCCCAGAUCCACUUCACUUCCCCAUCCUCUCCCUGCUCUGAUUUGAGGUUGCUACAGCGCACCGGAGCUCGUCGUCGUGGACCACCACAUCCACCGGCCACCUCGUGCUGCGCCACUGUGUCCAGGAGACUCGUCGGCUUCGACUUCAUCAGCCACGGGCACGGAUUCUGGCAACACGGUGCGACAUCGUCGGGAUCGAGCCGAUCCCCUCCUCUGCAUCACCAGCGCGCCACCGCGUCGAUCUACUCAUCUCCGACCGUCCCCGGCAACCCCGAGCCUUCCCCGAGCAUCACAGUGAGCUCCGCCUCGAUCCCCUUUUCCUCUAGGCGUCGCUCCCGUCCUCUGGCCGCCGUUCCACGAGCUCCGUGCUCCGGCCGCCGCCAUGGCCGAAUAGCUCCACGCUCCUGAGCUUCUCUGCUCAUUUGCAUCGCGCCAAUGAGCUCCUGGUGACCCGUAGGUGCUGCCUGCACGUUUCGUUGCCUCGAACCCGUCGCGAGGCGAGGAGUUCCUCGAGCUCUGCUCCGACCGCCGCCGCGCUCGACGUUGCGGCUGCGCCCCGCCGUGCGUGCCUGGCCGCAUCCGCACGUGCCUGUUGUCGCCCGUGCGCGUGCCCGUCCGCCCGCUGAUGCUCGUGCACGCACGCGCCGCGCCUAGCUGCUGUUGCUGCUUGCUGAGGCCAAUAGGCGCUGCUCUGCUUGCUGCUGUUGCUGCUUGCUGAGGCCAAUAGGCGCUGCUCUGCUUGCUGCUCCUACUCUCCUGCUGCUUGCCUCUAGCACCGCCGCCGCCGCCGCUUACUGAUGCUGCUUACCGCUGCUACUUUUCCCUGUGGCCGCUGCUAGCUGCUACUACGCAUUCUGGCCACGCCAUGGCCAUGGGCCAUGUCCAUGUGCGUGUGUGUGCUUGUGUGUGAUGCACAGCCACCCAAUGGACGGCCAUCCCAAAUUAGAUUAGUGGCCUAAUUGUUGUUCAGCUCUAAUCCUAGCACAAGACACCCACUGAUAGUUAGUCACCACCACUAAAUAAUCCCUAGUUAAAAUUAAGUGCAAAGGACAUGUGGGUCCCGUCGCUAUAUAAACCUAUUUAGCACUUUAGUUAAAUUAUCAGUCAAUGACAAGUAGGCCCAACUUCACUAUUCACACUUUGACCCAGGUCAACUUUGACUGUUGACUGUGCACCUAUUGACUUUGACUUUGACCCUAGCCCCACUGUCAUACACUGUGGCUAGGAUAACACUAGGUGACAAAAGUAUAUUCUGUUUUUAAUUUGGAUUUAUAAUAUUUUCAAAAAAAUGGUUUAAUCUUUGAAAAUUCAUAGAAAAUAAACCGUAGCUCGGAUCGAAAAACUUUAUAUAUGAAAGUUGCUCAGAACGACGAGACGAACCCGAAUACGCUAACCACAUACCUGUUAGAUGCCUCUAACUAUCUGAACAUGGAACAUUCCCCUCCGGUCAUGUGUCUGACACAGGACCGGAACCAGGAAUACGUUCCCGGCUGAAUUCCCCCUUCACCUAUAUCGUGUAGCCAUACGUUAGGUCACACCCGGCAUAGCAUAUUGCCACGUUAUGCUUUGUGUUGCUAUCUUUGCUUUAUUUUUUACUAUUUCUUUCCCCUCUUCUCUCCGGUAGACCCCGAGACCGAUGCUGCCCCUGUGAUCGACUACGUCGACGACGACCCCUCCUUGCCAGAGCAACCAGGCAAGCCCCCCCUUUGAUCAUCCCGAUAUCGCCCAUUCCAUUCUCUCAUGCUUGCAUUAGAUUUUACUACUGUUAUUGUUUGCUCCUAUUCUGAUGCAUAGCCUGCUUUUGUAUCUACUGUUGUACCUUACCUGCUUAUCCUAAACUGCUUAGUAUAGGUUGGUUAGUGAUCCAUCAGUGACCCCCACCUUGUCCUUGUUGCCCCUGCUUCAUCAUUGAAGACCCGAUCAACGGGAUUGAAGACCAGGCCCCGGCACCGCACAUCACUUUCCCCUUAGUUGUUCGACACUGCUGGGUUACAAUCGAGUGCCGAGGGUGAGACCUCUACAGCACUUCUGAUGUUAACCCUGUAGUGUAGCUAUUCGGUCGUGGUCAUCGAGGGUGAUUCCACCUUAACCACUUCCGAUAUGACUCUGUCGUGCAACCCCUCAAGUGUGGACCUCGGGGGUGAUUCCUCUUACGUUCACCUUGAUGAUUACAUUGAGUGGAAUUCACCGGGGGUGAUUCCUCGGGUUUUCCCCUUGAUGUUUAAACACACAGUUACUAUGGUUACUAUGACUUUACACUGAACCAUGUUACUAAAGACGGGUUGACCCUGAGGGGUGCCCGCGCGAGCAUAAUUGCGAGUGAUGAGGAGUCGGGUUGACCUGGAAGGUGCCCGUGAGAUAAUUACGAGGCGUGGUCGGGCAUUCUUAGCCCUUGCCGCAUGUCCUCGAGACGGGGCAACGGGGUCACAUCUUUCGUGAGUCUCUGCUUGUUACCGCGCGUUCCUAAUCCACUACGAUUUGGAUAUUUGAUCCGAGGGGCCUCUGGCCUGAUAGCACUAACCAUCACGUGGGCAUAGUAUGGGCGUUCUGCGUCGUAUGCAUCAGCCGAAGCUUAAUAGACGUCAGCGACUGAGCGGCGCGCGCCGGGUUGGACUGGUAAGCACCUACCUUUUUAAGGAGGUAGCUAGGUCUGCUCACCGGCCGAGUUCGCAACGUGCAGGAGUUUCCGGGGAGAUGGCCCAUGACCCCUGGGGGCAUAGGUUUAGUCCGGCGUGCUGGCCUCUCUAUUAAGCCUAGGUCGGGUUGCGGCGUAUUGUUUGGCCGAGGCCGGGCAUGACCCAGGAAAGUGUGUCCGGCCGGAGUCAAUCGAGCGUGGUGGGUAAGUUGGUGCACCCCUGCAGGGAAGAACUAAUCUAUGCAUAGCCUGUCCUACGGUAACGGACACUUGGAGUUGUAUCCCGAUCGAUACAACUAGAACUGGAUACUUGUGAUGAGAAUUAGAUGGUGAUGAGGAUUUGAUUGUGAUGAUAACUGAAUAGUAUGGCUCUGGGAUUGCUUUCUCGCAGGGAGUCGAGAAAGGAUCUCUGGCCGAGGUUGAUAACACUACUACCGCUUUACUUUAUGCUACUCUACUCCCUCUUGUUUGCUGCAAGAUGGUGGUUUCCAGAAGAUGCUAGUCUUCGAUAGGACUAGACCUUCUCUCUAUUCUGGCAUUUCUGCAGCCCAGUCCACAUAUAUAGCCUUCCUUUGAUAAUGUUGCAUAUGUAGUGUAGAUCCUUGCUUGCGAGUACUUUGGAUGAGUACUCACGGUUGCUUUGCUUCCCCUUUUCCCCCUUUUCUUUUCUUUCCGGUUGAUGCAACCAGAUGUCGGAGCCCAGGAGCCAGAUGCCACCGCCGAUGCCUACUGCUAUGUGGAGACCGUUGACGACCAGGAGUAGUUAGGAGGCUCCCAGGCAGGAGGCCUUGCCUUUUCGAUCGUAGAUGCUUUUGUGCUAGCCUUCUUAAGGCAAACUUGUUUAACUUAUGUCUGUACUCAGAUAUUGUUGCUUCCGCUGACUCGUUUGUAUUCAAGCUGAUGUAUUCGAGCCCUCGAGGCCCCUAGCUUGUAAUAUAAAGCUUGUAUUAUUUUAAUUUGUGUUUAGAGUUGUGUUGUGAUAUCUUCCCGUGAGUCCUUGAUCUUGAUCGUACACAUUUGCGUAUAUGAUUAGUGUACGAUUGAAUCGAGGGCGUCACAGUGAUCCCGUUAUCAACGACAUCUAAUGUUCAU
rnacentral:lncRNA from 1 species